GAGACACCCAUGUCAUUGAACAAGAGGUUCUAAUAUUACAUAACAGAGCAGGACUUAUAAAGAUACAAUGAGAAGAUGGCCUUCUGCAAACCAAGGAAAGAGACCUCAUCAAAAGGAGCUCACUGGAGUCACUUUGGGUAGUGGUAUGUAGCUGUAGUGGUAUGUGCUCUCUCUCAAUGCUGAGCUGCAGCUCCCAGUCAGCCACUGGAUCAUGAGGGUAAAAUAC
rnacentral:lncRNA from 1 species